AUACGGAGGGUGCAAGCGUUAUCCGGAUUUAUUGGGUUUAAAGGGUGCGUAGGCGGUUUGAUAAGUCAGCGGUGAAAUAUUUCAGCUUAACUGGAAGGGUGCCGUUGAUACUGUCGAGCUUGAAUUUAGUUGCUGUGGGUGGAAUGUGUGGUGUAGCGGUGAAAUGCAUAGAUAUCACACAGAAUAUCGAUUGCGAAGGCAGCUCACAAAGCUAAUAUUGACGCUGAUGCACGAAAGUGUGGGGAUCAAACAGGAUUAGGUACCCUGGUAGUCCACACUGUAAACGAUGAUAACUCGCUGUCGGCGAUACAUAGUCGGUGGCCAAGCGAAAGCGAUAAGUUAUCCACCUGGGGAGUACGACCGCAAGGUUGAAACUCAAAGGAAUUGACGGGG
rnacentral:rRNA from 1 species